GUAAAGAUCAGCCGGAUGCUCCCUCCGGCCCUCUCUCCUUAUGUUAAAACCAUAACAGAACCAAUGAAAGUUGAAUAAAACAAAUAUAUCACCCGGACGCUUACUCAAUUAUGAACAAAUUAGUUUAAUAACAAACUUAAUCCUUAACUUUUUAUAUUUUUUUUUAUCAAUUUGAUCCUAAACUUUUAUAAAAAUAAUUAAAAUUUUCCAAGAACAUUUUCUACGGAAUUAAGCACAUUUGUUUAAAUGUAUGCCAUCGGGUUCAAGCCUGAACAAUUUCACCCAAUUACACCCUAAUCUUUCUAUAUGGGGAUAAGAUGGAAACUUAGACUGGUGAAGAGGGACCCAAAAUAACAUCAAGAAUGGUAAAUCUAGACCUUAAUGGAUUUCUCAAAAAGGAACUUACUCCCUUCCCUUCACCGUAAAUGAUCUUAGGUUCCCACAACAAUGUGUAGAAUAAGGCUUUAUAAUAAAACCAAAAUUUAUGCCAUUUGAAUUUGAUACGCCAUUAACAUGCCUCUGCCACAAACAAAACUUAAAAUGGUAUUUGCAUUGUUCUUUUGCAGAGCUGAGGUUGAAGGCCAACAAUAAUACCAACUUUUGGGGUUUGAAUGCAAAAUUCUGCACCUACCGAAGAAGUGUUUUAUAAAUAAAUAUAUUCUAUGACAAACCAGAAAACUUCUGCCAGCACAAUCAAUGACUUAAGCCAACUCCUCCUGGAUUUGACCUUCUGCAAGGUUUAGAAAUAUCUCAUAAACAUCCAACAUUUAAUUGAUUAUGAUAAAUACCAAAAUGGUUAAAGCCAAACCUCACCAGCAAGUUUGACAGCCAAGCUGGCUUCAGCAUCAGCCUCGCCAUUCAGUUCGUGAGCAAGAAAUGUUGAAACUAUGCAAUGCAAUAAAAAGACUAAAGGGGGAG
rnacentral:lncRNA from 1 species